ensembl:lncRNA
UGCUGGCUAAGCGCGGCGAAGAGCGCGGCUGGGAGAGCACACUGGAUGUCAGUCCUGUCAAGCCUUCAUUUCACCUGUCAGCGCGGUGACUGACGUACAAGCACUUGUUUGCCCUUCCUGUGGUCUUCUCUUGCGUGUCCUGACAGGCGCAGGCCUCCGGAGCGGCGCACUUCGCCUCCUGCUACAAGGUCUCUCUCCUCCGGCUCUGCUGUCAGCCUUUGAUCAUGCCGAGACUCUCUGUUCUCCGCUCAGACGGACGACAGCAGCUCUCCCGCCCCACCGUGGAAUCCUUCCUGCCCCGGCCAGGUGACAGCAGACACUGCAAUCACGCUCCAUAAUCAC